rnacentral:rRNA from 1 species
CCAGACUCCUACGGGAGGCAGCAGUGAGGAAUAUUGGUCAAUGGGCGGAAGCCUGAACCAGCCAAGUCGCGUGAGGGAAUAAGGCCCUACGGGUCGUAAACCUCUUUUGCCGGGGAGCAAGGGCGGGGACGUGUCCCGGCCCGGAGAGUACCCGGAGAAAAAGCAUCGGCUAACUCCGUGCCAGCAGCCGCGGUAAUACGGAGGAUGCGAGCGUUAUCCGGAUUUAUUGGGUUUAAAGGGUGCGUAGGCGGGCUUUUAAGUCAGCGGUAAAAAUUCGGGGCUCAACCCCGUCCGGCCGUUGAAACUGGCGUUCUUGAGUGGGCGAGAAGUACGCGGAAUGCGUGGUGUAGCGGUGAAAUGCAUAGAUAUCACGCAGAACCCCGAUUGCGAAGGCAGCGUACCGGCGCCCGACUGACGCUGAAGCACGAAAGCGUGGGUAUCGAACAGGAUUAGAUACCCGUGUA